rnacentral:rRNA from 1 species
CCUACGGGAGGCAGCAGUGAGGAAUAUUGGUCAAUGGCCGUAGGGCUGAACCAGCCAAGUCGCGUGAAGGAAGACGGAUCUAUGGGUUGUAAACUUCUUUUAUAGGGGAAGAAAGGUGACUACGUGUAGACAGUUGCAUGUACCCUAUGAAUAAGCAUCGGCUAACUCCGUGCCAGCAGCCGCGGUAAUACGGAGGAUGCGAGCGUUAUCCGGAUUUAUUGGGUUUAAAGGGUGCGUAGGGUGUUAUUUAAGUUAUCGGUGAAAGCUUGUGGCUUAAACCUUAAAUGGCCGUUGAAACUGGAGGACUAGAGUGCGUACGAGGUAGGCGGAAUGCGUGAAGUAGCGGUGAAAUGCAUAGAUAUAACGUAGAACCCCGAUAGCGAAGGCAGCUUACUAGACCAUAACUGACGCUGAAGCACGAGAGCGUGGGGAGCGAACAGGAUUAGAUACCCUAGUAGUC